UGUAUAAGGCAUGAUCGCUGCAUGAAGUUGGAUGGGUAACAUACAGUAGGGAAACACAUUACUCACAGUCGGCCAGGACGAGAGCACACAGGAGAAACAAGGAGGUCAGCCCUCCCAUGGUGUGGCCAGCUGUCCUAUAGUCUGCCAGUGGGGUGUCCGCCUGUCCGGGUGAUGAUGGUGGGUGCACCGGAGGAGCAGAGAAGUUUGCUCCGGCUGCAGAGCAGCUUGACCACUGUGGAGGAAGAGUCCCAUCGUAUUGUGUGAAGAGGAGGUGCCAUUAGAGUGGAGAGAUGCUUCCUCCUUUUCUACACUGAAUCAGGUAAAUCUACAUUGCAAAGUCUGCCGCCAGAGCCGGGGUCUGAGGCUAACCCUUAAGUAGACCUCACUCGAAUAUCUCCUCUACUAACAUGGACUAAUUUUUGGUUCCUCUCCAGAGAAUUAAAGCUACAUUUUGCACCAUAUUAAAGACAGCAGUUCAGAAGCUGAAAUCAGAAACUGUUUCCAUAAGUACCCAUACAGAUGCUGUUGAAAAGAAAACUGGUGACAUCUGUAGAUUUAAAGAAGUUAUGAAUCAAGAAUUUUCUGACCCAAGUCUCGAGACCAGGUUGAAGACUUGGAGAACCGAUGAAGUUACAACAACGUCUUAAUCAGGAAUAUCCCUGAAACAGUUGAACCCUCAGAAGUUUUUGCUUACCUGGAAGGCAUAUUUCUACACAUUUACCUGAAACAUCCCCUAAGCAUCUGCUCUUGGGCUGUCCCCAUAGAGGCCUUAGAACUAAGGCACCCAUGGAAUAGCCUCCCUCUUCUCUCAUGAUUUGGCACCUAGCAUGCUUAAGAACAGAUCUCCCAACUGUAUCCAAGGCUUUAUUUUGCAAUUAGAAAAUGAAGCAUCGUGGGUAGUCCCAUUUGACCCCAUCUUCUCUCACCAGGAAUGUUGAACAGGAUCAAGUGGGUUUCUUCUCCAACUUACUCCAACUUCCACUCCCAAGCUUCUUCUCUACUCCUCCUCUGGUCCUGUCCUUCCAUGUGUCUUUUUGUACUUUAUAUGAAUCUCCCCUCAGAUGGGAAUCCCGAUUGGAUAUGUUUUAAUGAUACUAGUGGUUCUGGAGCAUUUCCUCUUCCUCUGGAACUGAUACCCGUUAAUCUCCAGUUUGAUCUUAUUUGAAUCCUCCAUCUCCAUACAGUUUUUUGUUAAUCGAGACUUGAAAAUAUUUACUUCUUUUUGCUGAUUUUUUCUCUCACCUUCUCUCCUCCCUUCUUUAUCUUUCUGUCUAUAUCUUUGUGUGUUUCUGUUUUAGGUUGGUCCAGACGAGGAGGAUUGAGCUUCUGAACCCUUGGUCUUUAAUACAGCUGAUUAAUAGAAUAAAUUUCACAUCAUUAUUUUAGUUGUUGUGAGCUCAUUGCUGUUAACUGUUAUUACUGUGACACAUUGCAUGCCAGCUCACUUAAAUAUUUAGCAUGAUUCCUACUGUGGGUGACGGGUCCAGAGGACCCACUUUCUUCCUUUAUAAUUACAUUAGAUGGAUUCGCUACCUUUUCAUAGAGCAACAAUUCCCUACCUCUUCUCAGCAGUUGCACCUGACCCCCAUCUCUCCUCUGCCACUUCUAUCUUUUAGUAUUUUACUUCUGCCUCCCCCGAUGGUCUUGCCCAAGGCCCUGUUCAGAGUCCAUUGUGACCUUGGUCAUUUCUAGAAACAUUUUCCAUGUCUUCUUUGUUGUAGUCUCCACUCUCCCUUUUCCCACAACUAUGUUUGCUUUCUGCUAGCUACUGUAGUUUCUAACUCUGUUGUGUCCUUACUUGACCCGAAUCCAUUGUGCCAGCCCCACAAAUAUUAUAGUUUUCCCUAUGUAAAAAACAGGACCCUCCUCUCUCUGGUAGUCUAAACAUUUACUUUUAGGGUCCUAUAUACACUGAUAGGUGAAACAAAAUCUGUCAGGUGAAACAAAAUCCCCAAUAAGCCACGGCCAACACUGGCUUAUCAAGGCUAAUUGGAUAACCCCCAGUGAGAUAAUUAUCUGCGGUAAUUUACCACAGGGAGAGGAUAAAAAAGUGCAGGGGAAAUACUAAUUUAUUGUUUUUUGUUUGUUUUUCUAAGAUAUGUUUUGUUGAAAAAUGUUCAAUGCAUAGGGAGAGGGAUACAGGAAGAGAGAGAGGGGGUAAGGAGUGUGAAAAAUAGGACAAAUCCCAUGUCCAGAACAUUUGUAAUACUUAAAGCUUCACCAUGUCAGAAUACUGUACAUGAAAAAUUCUAACAUUGAUGAUGGCAAAAUGAAACUAAAAUAUUAUUCAGUACGAAUGAGAUUCUAAGGAAGCUUGACCCAUGUGCUAAUCCUACCCAGAUGGACAGCUACCCAAGAGCAUACAAACCAAAGAUGAUAGGGGAAGAUGCACUUCAUGAGGGGCCAACCAAGAAGACCAUGGGCAGUAUCUAAUUACUCAUCCUUCAUAUAUGAUCAAAAAUCUCACCAGCAUUACCUCACCACAUUCUGUCUGUUGUUCUUGUUGAUUAAAAUAAAGAUAUUACAAAAAAAAAUUAAAAAAAG